rnacentral:rRNA from 1 species
GUUUGAUCCUGGCUCAGGAUGAACGCUGGCGGCGUGCUUAACACAUGCAAGUCGAACGGAGCUGUUUCGCUGACGAGACUUCGGUCAAAUCUUGAAACAACUUAGUGGCGGACGGGUGAGUAACGCGUGGGUAACCUGCCAUAUACAGGGGGAUAACACUUAGAAAUAGGUGCUAAUACCGCAUAAGCGCACAGAGCUGCAUGGCUCAGUGUGAAAAACUCCGGUGGUAUAUGAUGGACCCGCGUCUGAUUAGCUAGUUGGUGAGGUAACGGCCCACCAAGGCGACGAUCAGUAGCCGGCCUGAGAGGGUGAACGGCCACAUUGGGACUGAGACACGGCCCAAACUCCUACGGGAGGCAGCAGUGGGGAAUCUUCCGCAAUGGGCGAAAGCCUGACGGAGCAAUGCCGCGUGAGUGAUGAAGGUUUUCGGACCGUAAAGCUCUUUUGUUUAUGACGAACGUGCAGAUUGUGAACAAUGAUUUGUAAUGACGGUAGUAAACGAAUAAGCCACGGCUAACUACGUGCCAGCAGCCGCGGUAAUACGUAGGUGGCGAGCGUUGUCCGGAAUUAUUGGGCGUAAAGAGCAUGUAGGCGGUCCUUUAAGUCUGGAGUGAAAAUGCGGGGCUCAACCCCGUAUGGCUUUGGAUACUGGGGGACUUGAGUGCAGGAGAGGAAAGGGGAAUUCCCAGUGUAGCGGUGAAAUGCGUAGAUAUUGGGAGGAACACCAGUGGCGAAGGCGCCUUUCUGGACUGUGUCUGACGCUGAGAUGCGAAAGCCAGGGUAGCGAACGGGAUUAGAUACCCCGGUAGUCCUGGCCGUAAACG